UUGCCAUGUGUGCUGUGUGUGGGUGUAACAAAUAGCGGCUGCAGGCUGAAGUGCUCUUCCAUUUCCCUAAAGAAGAGCGCGCAGGACAAGUGUUGAGCUACAAAGCUGUUUUAUAUUAGAAUACAAUAAAAAUACAUGUUUUAAAGAUACAAAAUGUUGAAAAUGAUUCUCCCCUCUGCUCAGUAAGGCUUUGCAGGAACAUGGUGUGGGACCAGGCCUCUCUCUGCUCUGGCAGGUGUGAGGGUUUCUCCCCAUGGAGGUUUCUACUUUAAGGGGCUCUGAGGCUGCUAGUGUGGGGAUGGUGUGGGGAGAGGCUCAUCCCUCCUCAUGGAAAAGCUGAAGGAAAUGCUGUGCUGAGGCCUGCAGCUUUUGGAGGACAGCGUGGUCCCUGUGUUCCCUGGCUGCCGCCAGGAGCAGCUUGGCGCCUCCAGCGGGGGCAGCCUGAGGGAGCGUGUGGGAGAACCUUCCGGAACGGGAAGGUUCCUCCAGCAGAGCUGCGCCCACCUGCUGUUAUUCCUUCACGCUGUGGCAAGAGAGAGCAGCCAAAGCUGCCUGCAGUGCUUACGCUGCCAUCCUGCUGUAUUUUGUCCCUGUCAAACCUGGUGAGGUGCACGGACAUGGCCUGAGGGUCCCUGUGGUACUGCCCGGUGAGGGCCGCGCUGUGCCUCCCUGUCAGGACCUGGCGCUGUAAGGAGCCACUGGCCCUGCACUGCUCCAGCUGCUGUGUGUGGGGAUUUCUGUGGGCCUUCAGAGGAAGGAUUCUACAGGGGAAGCAAUGAACAGUAGAUAUUGUUCCCGCUGUGAAUCUGUGCAGAAUCCUACAAAUCCUGUGAAAAACUGAGUCCAUAAGUCUUUAAAAGUACAAAGACUUUACCAAGGAUUUCUCUGAGGAUGCAGUGGAAGUCUUUUUCCAGGACAAAUUCCUACUGGAAGGAUGCAUUCAUGCAGAGCAGUAAAAGGUUUCAGUACGGCAAAGAGGAUUAUCUGCAGCACAGGAACAGAAAUGACCAGUCAGAGCCUAGAAGGAAAGACAAGAAUGCCUAUGCUGUACUGUCAGAGAAAAA